rnacentral:rRNA from 1 species
AUGGAUUCCAUCAUGGCUAACGGGACAUGGGAGAUCACUGACCGUCCCUAUGGUUGCAAACCACUGGGAUGUAAGUGGGUGUUCAAAAAGAAGCUUAGGCCCGAUGGUUUCGUUGUUAAUGAGGCUGACAAAUGUGUAUACUAUCGCCAUGGUGGGGGCGAAGGAGUUAUACUGUGCUUGUAUGUUGAUGACAUACUGAUAUUCGGAACAAACCUCAAAGUCAUUGAGGAGGUCAAAUCGUUUCUAUCUCAGAACUUUGAGAUGAAAGACCUUGGUGUGGCUGAUGUUAUCUUGAACAUCAAGCUACUGAGAGAUAAUGAGGGUGGGAUCACACUUCUGCAAUCCCAUUACGUUGAGAAGGUGUUGAGUCGUUUUGGAUAUUCGGACUGUACUAUGAACUAUGGACUUCACUAUACCGGAUACCCGUCGGUACUUGAAGGGUAUAGUGAUGCGAAUUGGAUCUCUGAUGCUGAUGAGAUGAAGGCCACAACUGGGUAUAUGUUUACUCUUGGAGGUGGCGCUGUUUCCUGGAAGUCUUGCAAGCAAACGAUCUUAACGAGAUCGACAAUGGAAGCAGAAUUAACGGCAUUAGACACAUCUGGUGUUGAAGCGAGAUGGCUUCGAGAUCUUUUGAUGGACUUGCCAUUGGUUGAUAAACCGGUUCCGGCUAUCCUUAUGAACUGUGACAAUCAGACUGUCAUCACCAAGGUGAAGAGUUCAAAGGACAACAUGAAG